AAAAAGCAGCUGUUGGACGCUUGACUAUGAUGCAACGUUGCAACCUGUGCAAGCAAAAUGACAUCACUUCGAGAGAAAACCUUAUUUGUGGGAAAUUUUAUUCGUAGAAGAUGUGUUAUCGAUUCCAGAGGAACUGUCGUGAAAAACACAAAUAGUUUUCUUUCUCAAAAAGUAGACUUAGGCUUACUAAAUAAACUUCAAGCCAACUUCCAAAAUAGACGUCCAUAUUUUCAAUUUCUGUCUGCAUCAAUUCUGUCAAGUUGUGUGCUUUAUUUUAUUCAGAAAAAACGUUACACAAGUGCGAAUAUUGACGCUUACUUUUGGAAUGAUCUUGGACUAAGACUUGGAAAUGCAUUGAAUCUGAGAGCAGAGUGUGCUCAAGGCCCAGGAAUGAGAGCACGGUUUAAUUUCAUUGCGGACAUUGUGGAACAAGCCCAGCCAGCUGUGGUCUUUUUAGAAGUUGUCAAAGGAAAUGAAAGAUAUGGACCCAAACAAAGGGCUAGUGGAUCAGGAUUUAUCGUGCGCUCGGAUGGUUUGAUCCUGACCAAUGCCCAUGUAGUAGCAGGUGCUUCCCGAGUACAGGUGUGCCUGAAUGAUGGGGAGAAGGUCCAGGGCGUGGUGCAGGCAGUAGACCAAGUGUGUGAUCUGGCCACAGUCAAAGUACAGAGGAGCAACCUGCCCACUCUCCCCCUGGGUAAGAGUAGUGAGGUACGCCCAGGGGAGUGGGUGGUAGCCCUGGGGAGCCCCUUCAACCUUCAGAAGACGGUCACCGCUGGCAUUGUCAGUAACCCAGGUCGGGAGACAAUGGGGAACCUCACCAAGAGUCCACCCAUGAUACAACAUGAUGCUAUCAUCAAUGUUGGAAAUUCAGGUGGUCCUCUUAUCAAUCUAUUAUGAACUCACUGUACCAUUGUGUUUUGCUUCAAUCAUCAGAGUUUAUCUCUGGAUGAUGGUGAAGCCAUUGGAAUCAACACAAUGACCUUGACCUCAGGAAUUUCAUUUGCCCUUCCAGCAGAUUUAGCAGUGGACUUUCUGAACAGGGCCAAAAGAGUUGAGGGCAAAUUUCCUAAACCAGCUCCCAAGAGGCAUUAUGUAGGACUUGGUGUCAUGUCCUUGACCCCUGACCUUCAAAUGAACCUGAAGAAAAUGGCACCAAAUUUCCCAACCAAUGUUGAACAAGGCAUUGUUAUUGGAUCUGUGUAUGUUGGGUCACCUGCCCACCAGGCUGGACUAGUACCCACUGAUGUCAUUACCCAUAUCAACGGUAAGGUCGUGACCUCAACCUCAGACUAUUUCAAGGCCAUUGAGACAGGUGAAAAGAUUACAUUACAGAUUGCACGCAGCACUGGAGUUUUCAAAGUCUCCAUCGUGCCUGAAGAUGUUGAUUAACGGAAGAGUUUGUGUGUGAAACUGUUUACUGAUCAUGUUUAUUUGUUGGUACUGAUGUCACUUCUUACAUUCAGAUAUGCAAAUAUUUAAUUUCAAUUGUGAAAAGGAAUAUAUGAUAUGUUUAUUUGUUAAGAUCUGGUGUCACUUUUAGUGAAAGUUUUUUUUUAAUUAAACAUCAAAUAUAUGUUAAAAAAUUGAUGUUGCUCAAUGGCAGUUAAAUAAAAUUGAUUGUACAUGAUUGUU
rnacentral:misc_RNA from 1 species